rnacentral:rRNA from 1 species
AGAGUUUGAUUCUGGCUCAGGAUGAACGCUGGCGGCGUGCCUAACACAUGCAAGUCGAGCGAUCUUCUUCGGAAGAGAGCGGCGGACGGGUGAGUAACGCGUGGGUAACCUGCCUCAUACACAUGGAUAACAUACCGAAAGGUAUGCUAAUACAAGAUGAUAUAAGAGAUUCGCAUGGAUUUCUUAUCAAAGCUCCGGCGGUAUGAGAUGGACCCGCGUCUGAUUAGCUAGUUGGUAAGGUAAUGGCUUACCAAGGCGACGAUCAGUAGCCGACCUGAGAGGGUGAUCGGCCACAUUGGAACUGAGACACGGUCCAA